UGCCAGCCGCCGCGGUAAUACGAAGGUGGCGAGCGUUGUUCGGAUUUACUGGGCAUAAAGGGCGUGUAGGCGGCUUGGUAAGCGGAGUGUGAAAGCCCGGGGCUCAACCCCGGAACUGCAUUCCGAACUGCCGGGCUAGAGGACAGGAGGGGGGUCUGGAACUCUAGGUGGAGCGGUGAAAUGCGUAGAUAUCUAGAGGAACGCCGGUGGCGAAAGCGAGGCCCUGGCCUGUCCCUGACGCUGAGGUACGAAAGCUAGGGGAGCGAACAGGAUUAGAUA
rnacentral:rRNA from 1 species